UGGGGAAUAUUGCACAAUGGGCGCAAGCCUGAUGCGGCGACGCCGCGUGAGGGAUGACGGCCUUCGGGUUGUAACCUCUUUCAGCAGGGACGAAGCGCAAGUGACGGUACCUGUAGAAGAAGGACCGGCCAACUACGUGCCAGCAGCCGCGGUAAUACGUAGGGUCCGAGCGUUGUCCGGAAUUACUGGGCGUAAAGAGCUCGUAGGUGGUUUGUCGCGUUGUUCGUGAAAACUCACAGCUCAACUGUGGGCGUGCGGGCGAUACGGGCAGACUUGAGUACUGCAGGGGAGACUGGAAUUCCUGGUGUAGCGGUGGAAUGCGCAGAUAUCAGGAGGAACACCGGUGGCGAAGGCGGGUCUCUGGGCAGUAACUGACGCUGAGGAGCGAAAGCGUGGGGAGCGAACAGGAUUAGAUACCCUGGUAGUCCACGCCGUAAACGGUGGGUACUAGGUGUGGGUUUCCUUCCUUGGGAUCCGUGCCGUAGCUAACGCAUUAAGUACCCCGCCU
rnacentral:rRNA from 1 species